rnacentral:tRNA from 1 species
GCCAGCAUGGCUCAGUGGUUAGAGCAUUGGCCUUCACACCUGAGGGUCUCAGGUUUGAUGCCUAGUCAAGGGCAUGUACCUGGGUUGCGGGUCCAAUCCCCGCUCCCUGCG